GAUGAACGCUGGCGGCGUGCUUAACACAUGCAAGUCGAAUGAUGAAAGCGGGAGCUUGCUCCUGCUGGAUUAGUGGCGAACGGGUGAGUAACACGUGAGCAAUCUGCCCCGAACUCUGGGAUAAGCGUUGGAAACGACGUCUAAUACCGGAUACGACGCGCGAAGGCACCUUCUGCGCGUGGAAAGAACUUCGGUUCGGGAUGAGCUCGCGGCCUAUCAGCUAGUUGGUGAGGUAACGGCCCACCAAGGCGACGACGGGUAGCCGGCCUGAGAGGGUGACCGGCCACACUGGGACUGAGACACGGCCCAGACUCCUACGGGAGGCAGCAGUGGGGAAUAUUGCACAAUGGGCGCAAGCCUGAUGCAGCAACGCCGCGUGAGGGACGACGGCCUUCGGGUUGUAAACCCCUUUUAGUAGGGAAGAAGCGAAAGUGACGGUACCUGCAGAAAAAGCACCGGCUAACUACGUGCCAGCCGCCGCCGUAAGAC
rnacentral:rRNA from 1 species